CUUAUUCUCUUAUUCUCUCCCAUGCCUUUUAUAGCCUUCCCACUUGUUCUUUCUCUCUUAAAUUUCACCUUCAAUUUCUCAUCCUUUUCAAAAUCAAAUUGCACCAUAGUGAAAUUGAGAAGCUAAGGAACAUUUAGGACCAAUCAAUUUCGUCUUUUGAGUAAUGCCCAUUUUUCAUUCAAAUGAUAUAUUUUCUCUCUUGCAUGUGGUUUCUUUCGGUUGCAUGUAUUUUAUCUGCCUUCUAGAAGAAUCUCUAUCCGUUGGUGGUCAUAAAAUUGAGCUCUGAUCGUUGAUCAAACUUUUGUUUGUGUAGAUAGAGAAAUUAUACGUUUUGAAGCUGUGUAGGAGAAAAUCAAUGUUAGUAAUUUUCCCUCUUUUAAUUGAUAAUUGUUGGAAGUCCCACAUCGACUAGAGAUGAGGUCAUUUAAGUGUAUAUAAGUGGGUGCAAACCUCACCCUACAAGCCGGUUUUGUGGNNNNNUUUGUGGGGUUGAGUUAGGCUUAAAGUCCACUUCUAACAUGGUAUCAGAGCCAUGACUGGAACCCAUCCUAGCGAUUUCUGUUGUCGUUGGGCAUAUUGAUCCACCCGCUAUCGGACCACCCAUUACCUCGGCGUGAGGGGGGUGUGUUGGAAGUCCCACAUCGACUAGAGAUGAGGUCAUUUAAGUGUAUAUAAGUGGGUGCAAACCUCAAAUGGAAACCUAAGAUGUACUUAAAAUUGAAUGUGAAUUAGAGAUUUUUAUUGUUGCUUUGCAUAUUAUGUAGUCUUUUGAAUGUUAAUUUUGUGAAAUUGUUGAAGAAUAGUCUAUUUUAUGCAUACUGAGUAAUGUAUCAAUGUAGAACGAAAAAUGGUAUUGAGAGGGUUGGGGCUUGGCAGAAAAAUGUUUCAUCUAGAAAUAUAUUGAAAUGAAGUAUACCCGACGGAAUUAAAUACGUAUGACAAAUGUGCACUAGAAUGAGAGACAUUGAAUGAUAUUUGAUAUGUUGAACAAUUUAAAUUGAUUCUUAUGCAUGAUGUAAGAUCGGUAAAUAGUACUUUAGUAUAAAUGAAAGUAUUGAAUGAAUAUUGUAUAUGAAACUGUUAUAUAUAUGAAGUUUGUAUAAAUGAGGUUAUAAGAUAGAUGACUUAUGAGAAAUUGUUGAAUGAUUGUGAACUUGAUGAUGGUAUGGUAAACUGAUGUGCACUGUGAUGGUACUUACAACCACUAUGUUUCUUGAAAGUAUAGUCUAUGAAGAUUAAAAGCAUAGACAGAUUUAAGUAUAACUUAGACGGUAUGUAGAAUCUAUUUUGAUUUAUGAAAGGCGUUACUUUAGGAAUUGUGCAAAUUGUGGUUAAUGGUUAAAGGUAGAUAAGAAUAACCUAAAGCUAGGUAAGACACUUAAUUUGUACUAAAACUAGUUUCUAUUGCAUCAUCGUUGGGCAUUAAGUAAGCACCAUCGGGUGCCACUUUAAAAAUUUGUAAAUCUAGGUGAGUCCAAGUGUAUUGAAGGGAAUUUGUUGUGUGAGACUAUCCUGACUCUAUUAGUAUCUAAUUUACAUAGAGGAAGAUAAUUGGAUGGUGAGAGUCGAUUUAGGCUUCACAAAGCAGACAAGAUGAUAUGAAAUAGGAUCAUAUCUUGGGAGCCACUAAAGUUAAUCCUGUCAUGACUUGUUGAGGAACAUGAGUUCAUGGAUGUGAUUAUAAUAUGAAGAAAUUGGUGGUAAGUAUGAAAAGUGCAAAGUCUCACAAAUCUAUUCAAUACUAGUUAUUUAGGAAGCAAAGUCUAGAUUUUGUGUGUUAUUUGAGCCACUUUGAGUUGUAUGAUUUUGAAGCCUUGUAGGCUGAUACCUAGUAAUUGAUUUGAUGAAUGUGAACUAUUUAUGUUAUUAGGCUGGUUUAUAAAAUGAAUAAUUUGUUGUUUGAGCGAGUUGGAUUGAGAUUUGAAUGAGCUAGUUGGAUAAAGCCGUAGGGAUUGAUGUUGAUAGUUAAUCUAGAUGAAUGAGAAAUAUGUGAGUCCUUUUUAUAUUGCGAGUAAUUGACUAAUGAAAUUAUGAAAGACAUUAGACAUGUUAAUCUAAGAAUUGGUUCUUCUCUAAAAAAUAAGUUAAUGACAUUAUCAUAUAUUUUGAUAUAUUGCCAUAUCCUAUAUAUAUAUAUAUAUAUAUAUUAGUUCUCUUCAUUUAAAAUGCAUUAGCUUAUCUUUGCAAUUGUUUUGAUUGUGGUUUUGGUCGUAUUAUUUAUAUGGGAGAAGAUGAAGGUGCAGGUAGUAGUACAAAACAACAAGUCUUUAUAUGGAAGAAGGUGAAAGUGCAGGUAGUAGUACAAAACAACAGGUCUUGAGUGGGUAGGAACAUGGUGUGAUUUAUAGAGUUGGAGAAUUUUCUAUAUGUGUGUAUUAUAAAGUAUAUUUUGCUGUCCUCUUAGAUUAUAUUUUAUAGAAUGUUUAAACAUUUUGUAAUAAGAUAAAUGGAGGACUGUAAAUAUACUCUACAAUUAUGUGACUGAUUAUGCUUUAUAUCAAUCAGGUAAUAUCUCACUUAGUAGGAAAAUUUAGCUAAAGGGGAGUGUUACGGUUGAUCUACUUGCAACUUAAUCUACUCGUUUCUUUUCUUUUUCAUUUUCAAAAUAUGCAUAUGAUGUAGUUGGUGUUGUAGGUUGAGAAUCAGAUUGAGGUGAAAUUAGGGAUUGACUAGUUGCAGAUAUCUCCCUUUCAAGGUUCAUGUGGACCUUAUCAAGAUUGAUAUUGUCCUGCACAAGUUGAAGAAUAUUGCAAGAAACUAUCUUCCUACUAAUGCCACAUUAGUUAACAAAUUCAACAUUAGGGUUUAUUCUUAAAACUACCAAAUCACUAUGCGUUUUACCAAGUCUGUGGUCCUAACUGUGAACUAAUUGGCCUCCCAAAAUGACAAGCUCAUGUAUACUUUUGACAAAGGUUCCAAAAUGACAGACUAAUUCAACCUAACACUUCCAAAUAAUUAUUAAGGCAUAAUAUUAAAAGUAUUAAAAUACAUACCUUCUAAUUUGUGAUUAUGAACAAAAUCAAGGAGUCACGAUCGAACCUGCAAAACAUGAAGCAGAGUACAAAUCCCAAAUCUCCAAUAACCACUCCACCAUCAAUUUUAAUUUGUCCAAAGCAAUGUAACAAAAACACUAAAAAUUAGGCAAAGAAGUGAGCUGGGCAUGAAAAAGAGGGAAAGCGAAAAUAAAUUCUGGAAAUCGAAAGAGAAUAUUGGAAUUUAGGCAAAGAACUCAAUUAGGGCAUGAGAAAGAGAGGAAUUGAAAAUCAAUUCAGAAAAUUGAAACAGAGCAGUAAAACAUACCACGCCACACACAGUCAAAAUGAAAGCCAAAAAACCAAACUGAGAUAAAAAAAAAAAAAAAAAAAUUGAUAGAGGAAGAGCUGACUGAGCUUCAAACUGAUACAACAAGGAGCGAAAACAACA
rnacentral:lncRNA from 1 species